CCGUAGGAGCGAAGUCGAAUGGCGCCCCCAGCGGCUUGGGGUGGGAUCUCAGUGCCUCAUUCCUGGCGGCCCCGGGAGGGCGAUGCCAAGUUUCGCUCUUGUUCCCUGGGCUGCAGUGCAGUGGCACCAUCUCGGCUCACCGCAACCUCCGCCUCCCAAGUUCAAGCGAUUCUCCUGCCUCAGCCUCCCCAGUAUCUGGGAUUACAGGUAUGCGCCACCACGCCCGGCUAAUUUUGUAUUUUUAGUAGAGACGGGGUUUCUCCAUGUUGGUCAGGCUGGUCUUGAACUCCCGACCUCAGGUGAUUCUCCCGCCUCGGCCUCCCAAAGUACUGGGAUUACAGGCGUGAGCCACUGCGCCUGGCCUACUAAUACUAGGUUUUAUUCCGGGCCCUUCACAGUUAAUGUUGGAGGCCUCUGGAGGAUGGCCACACCUGGGCUAUUUGCAGAAGCCUGGACAGCACAGCAGGCAGAGUUAAAGCAGUUAAGGCAGUAUCAGCUGAAGGGCCACCCAGCUGUGCGUGUGCCCAGGCUCCAAGAAUAAGGAGGUUGGGGGGCAGUCCUAAGAAAGGAAGUCAUUACCUAUCGGCAACCCAGGAGCAGACGCUGGCAUAACGGCGCACACACAGUAAAGGUCAGAGGUUCUUCUUAGAAUAGUCCUUAGGUGUUAGUCAAACCCAUGCCCUGCCCCAAGGAGUUCAUUCAUUCAUUCACUCAUUCAUUCACUCACUCACUCACUGGUUCUGUUUAUUCACUCAUUUCUCUAUCACAUAUCCAUUUAUUGUCAUUCACCCACUUAUUUACUCAUACAUUCAUUCAUUUGCUCAUCAAUUUAUUUGGUACCUACAUGGAGCCAGGUACAGGUCUUGAUUAAAGAGAUCUGGGGAGGAGUGCUCCCAAGAAGUUCAGAGCCUCACUGGUGAAGGAAAGCCAUGUAAAGACAGAUCUUGAGAACCCAAGAUCAUCAAGGAGUAUCCAUGAUCAAGCAGAGCAGGGAAGGCUUUUUGCUUUGUUUUGUUUUGUUUUUAACAUGCUGUGUGGUUCAGUAAAAUUAAAACAGGCACAAUGAUAUCCUGGAUGACAAGAGCUGGAGGCUGUCAUUCUAACAAUGUAGUGAGACUGGCUGUCUUGUCUCAUGCCCACCCCUGGAAACAUGCGCAGGAACUCAAAGCACCUAGCACAGAGGAAGUGUCUGGUUGUUUUAAAGGAAAAACAAAACCAAAAAAAGCACCUCCUGCUCUGACCACCCCUAUUUCCAGUUUUCCCUUUUGGCACAGCAAAGAUGACCUUGGGACUGAGGUGGAACCAUGUAAUUCUUCGUAAUCCCAGAGUCAGGCAGACCUGGGUAUGAAUUCCAUCUUUACUAACUGUGUGACUCACUGUGUGGCCAUGCCAAGUUACGAGGUCUCUCUGUUUCCUCCUUCCUAAAAAGGAGAUAACAUCCAUCUCGAAGGAAGAUCUGGCCUGAAGAGCAGUCACUCUUGCCUGGCAUGCAGAGAAUGCCAAAUCAUAUUAAUGACUGGCCAGAAUGAAGUGCGUGACCUCAUCACUCCAUAACUGACAGGAAACAACUGCUAGGGCAAGAAAAAAGGGUCUCCAGUGAGUAUUCUUGUCCACACACAUCCCCACUCACGUUCCUGGACCACUGCAUCUAACUGCCGCAGCAGCUAAUGAACCUUCUGGAAUAAAGGACCAGUUUCUUAAGAAGGGAUUGAGACCUCCAGUGGCCUCCCACAUUGUUUCCGGCAAGAAUUUAAAAAUUAUUUGUAACAUAUAGUAAUAAAAACUAACCACAGGCUGGGCGCAGUGGCUCACGCCUGUAAUCCCAGCACUUUGGGAGGCUGAGGCAGGUGGAUCACCUGAGGUCAGGAGUUCGAGACCAGCCUGACCAAUAUGGUGAAACCCUGUUUCUCCUAAAAAUACAAAAAUUAGCUGGGCAUGGUGGUGGGCGCCUGUAAUCUCAGCUACUCAGGAGGCUGAAACAGGAGAACUGCUUGAAUCUGGGAGGUAGAUGUUGCAGUGAGCCGAUAUCGCGCCAUUGCACUCCAGCCUGGGCAAUGACUCCGUCUC
ensembl:lncRNA RPL26L1-AS1 RPL26L1 antisense RNA 1